rnacentral:rRNA from 1 species
UAAUACGGAGGGUGCGAGCGUUAUCCGGAAUUACUGGGUUUAAAGGGUGCGUAGGCGGCUUGGUAAGUCAGGAGUGAAAGUUUGCGGCUCAACCGUAAAAUUGCUUUUGAUACUGCCAGGCUAGAAUCAGGAUGAGGUCAGCGGAAUGUGGCAUGUAGCGGUGAAAUGCAUAGAUAUGCCA